UCUUCUCAUCUUCUCACGCGUCGAAACCUAAAAGCCAUCGUCCGCCUUCGUCUUCUUCUCGCCCUGUCGUGCCCGCCAGCCGCUACAGUCGUCGCUUCCACCGCCACCGCUUUCUUCUUCUUCUUCUCGCCUUGUCGUGCCCAACCCGUGAGCUGCCCAAUUAGGCCACGCCGGAGCGUUGGAGGAUAUUGGACUUGGAAUAAUGUUUGGAGAUGAAUCAAUAAAUCAAUUUACAUGGUAUAUCUCUUAUUGUCUUUGAUGUCAUGAUGCACUUUUAAUUUUUUUACAAUUUCGUUUGUAGGUACUGAAUACUGACAAUUAUGAAAUUAGAGCAUUAUCACAUUGGAGAGAACUUUUAGAAAAUGUGCUAUUUUUUCAUUAGUUAAAAUUUAAUUGUACUUGUAAGUGUUAUCCGUGUAGUAAAUAUUUAGUUGUGAUAUAAGAAGUAACUUUUUCUUUUAUAAAUGAUUAUUUUUAUCAGCAAACUAUUCUUCAAUGAAGACCAGUGAUAUGGAAAAAAGUUGGAUUCAUUCAAAGAACAAGAAUUCAGAAGAAUAUAGGAAAAAAGUUGUUGAAUUUUUAGAGUUAGCUUACAAAGACAAGACUGAAGAUAGCAAAAUUUAUUGCCCAUGUUUUGAUUGCAAGAAUCAUUAUUUGUCUCUAAGGUAGAUGUUAGGAUGCAUAUUAUUGUUAGAGGCUUUUAUAACAAAUAUAGAGUUUGGGUUUACCAUGAGGAAUCUUACAAUUCUCAACAAACAACCUCAUCUUAUGGAGGUACAAGUGAUAUGAAAGAGAAGAUGAUCUGAACGAAAUUGUGCACAAAAUUAUUUUUUAGCAUAUUUUAAUAUCCAAAAAUGAUGCAUUUUUGGAACCUCUAACAUAGUUUUGGAAAUUUUGAUUUUUGGAGUUUCUUUAUCUGGUUAUGAAAGACCAAACUACAUAAAAAUUUGUUUUGAUUUGUCUCUGGUACUGCAACUAGUUGGUAAAGAUGCAUUUGCAGAAACAGAUAAGAUUACCUUGGAGACUGCUAAUCUUCUGUGUGAAGAUUAUCUUGCCUAGAAUGCAUUUACUCCAUAUGAAAAGUUCUACCCAUUCUACAAAUCAGUUUGGACGAUGCGUAACAUUAUUCACUUCAACACUUUGGCGAAUCAGGUACUCAUCUGCUCUAUUCUUUAUGAUCUAUUGUUUUGAUUAUUAGCUUAUCCGUGUUGCUCUGAUUUGAUGCUCAAUUUUGACCCCAACAUUAGUCAGUUAACCUCCGAAUAUAAUAGUGCCCUUUCAUUAUCAGACUGACAUGUAACUUCAUGUGCUAGUAACAUUGAAGUAUUGUCAAGUUUAAUCAACAUCUUAUUACAUUAUUAACGGUUUUAUCCUGUGAUGGAAUAUGACAUAUAGGUCAGAAGCCCCCAAGAGAUCACUCAUCCUAAAAUUGCACCACAUGGAAUGUGACUUCAAGGUGAUGAGCUUCCUAUGAGAUCACCCAUUCUGAAAUUGCACCAUCCCAAGCACACUUAUAACUAGAAAGUUCUUAUAUAGAAAUGAACCAAUUCUAUCAAAAGACGUGUCAUUUUAGAGAAUUCAUACAUGUACAAUCCAUUUAACUCAAGUCACACCAAUGGGCCAGUCCCACCUUUCUAGUUUUUGUGUGUUCUAGGUUUUGUUCCUACUAGAAAUAUGUUAGAAGCCACCUUGCCCAAGCUCUUUGUUUUGAGGGUCACUUCUCACCCUCCUCUGACCGUAUCAUUAAUUGACUCACAUGCAUUUGUGGGAUAGAUAAUUCAGCUUAUGAUAUAUUUUACCAUUUACAUGAAAGCAUUGACCAGCUAUCAUAUCCAACUACUAGUCCAAAAUACUUGGGCUAAGCUAAAAUUAAUAGUAGAGCCGCUCAUCUAAAUUUAUGAAGAUUUUUUCAUCAAUCCACAACUCACAAGAUAAUUUGAAUUCUCGCAAGAUUUUCUAUUACAAUCAUAUAUUGGUCUCUUGUUUCGCUUUUCAACUAGUAGUCCAAGACUUCUAGACUACUUCCUGUUUUAAAUCUCGUGGAUCAAGAUUUACAAUUGUUGUAUAUUUUGUUAAUUUUUGACUAGGUCGUAGAGAGACAAGCAGGUUCUGAUGGUCAAAAGAUCACUUAUGGUGUCAUUAAGCAUCGAUUGGGUGACCUCUUCUAUCGAUUAGUGUAAGUAGUAGACCUUUAAGAUCCUAUUUGUGCAAGUUGGUCGUAAAGUUGCUGCUAAUCGAAGGCUCGAUUCUGUUGUUUAAAGUUUGAAGACCUCGAAGGUGAGGAAGCUCUUGAUAUGUACAAUAUUUUUUAUUUAGGUUGUAGAUAAUAUUAUUUCACAUGUAUCAGGAUUGGGUAAUCAACAGGCACAUUGGUAGUUGUUUUCAUAAGAUCUUUUUUGGUUUUAUUAAUAAUUUUGACAAUAUAAUGUACAUAUGUUUAUGUUGUAAAUAAAUCUAUUUUGCACGUGCAACAACUUGAAAGACACAAAGGACAAACACAUGAACCAGAUGAAGAGGUUUGUUUAAGUUAGGGAUGUUUGUGUUGUAUAUAUAUAUAUAUAUAGUUACAAGAAAGAGAAUUAUGUGUUAGAUGAUGAGAUUUCUUAUUGAACAGUUUUGUUUAUUGAUUUUUCUAAACAGUAUAUAUUAUAAAUCAUCUUUAUCUUUAAUAAAAGUUUUUUUAAUGUUCAGGAUUAUGAUGAAGAAAGAUUAUAGAAGUUAUCUCUAGAUCACGAGGAGUUGUUCUUUAGGCUUUCUCUUAUGUAACUUU